rnacentral:rRNA from 1 species
CCUACGGGAGGCAGCAGCCAGGAAUCUUGCGCAAUGGGCGAAAGCCUGACGCAGCAACUGCCGCGUGGGCGAAGAAGGCCUUCGGGUCGUAAAGCCCUGUUGUCGGGGACGAAGGGCGAAGGGUUAAUAGCCCCUAGCUUGACGGUACCCGACGAGGAAGCCCCGGCUAACUACGUG